UACGAAGGGGGCUAGCGUUGUUCGGAAUUACUGGGCGUAAAGCGCGCGCAGGCGGUCUUCCAAGUCAGUGGUGAAAGCCCGGAGCUCAACUCCGGAACUGCCAUUGAAACUGUUGGACUUGAGUAUGAGAGAGGUGAGUGGAAUUCCCAGUGUAGAGGUGAAAUUCGUAGAUAUUGGGAAGAACACCGGUGGCGAAGGCGGCUCUUUGGCCUAUAACUGACGCUGAGGCGCGAAAGCGUGGGGAGCAAACAGG
rnacentral:rRNA from 1 species